rnacentral:rRNA from 1 species
GAUGAACGCUGGCGGCGUGCCUAAUACAUGCAAGUCGAGCGAACGGACGAGAAGCUUGCUUCUCUGAUGUUAGCGGCGGACGGGUGAGUAACACGUGGAUAACCUACCUAUAAGACUGGGAUAACUUCGGGAAACCGGAGCUAAUACCGGAUAAUAUUUUGAACCGCAUGGUUCAAAAGUGAAAGACGGUCUUGCUGUCACUUAUAGAUGGAUCCGCGCUGCAUUAGCUAGUUGGUAAGGUAACGGCUUACCAAGGCAACGAUGCAUAGCCGACCUGAGAGGGUGAUCGGCCACACUGGAACUGAGACACGGUCCAGACUCCUACGGGAGGCAGCAGUAGGGAAUCUUCCGCAAUGGGCGAAAGCCUGACGGAGCAACGCCGCGUGAGUGAUGAAGGUCUUCGGAUCGUAAAACUCUGUUAUUAGGGAAGAACAUAUGUGUAAGUAACUGUGCACAUCUUGACGGUACCUAACCAGAAAGCCACGGCUAACUACGUGCCAGCAGCCGCGGUAAUACGUAGGUGGCAAGCGUUAUCCGGAAUUAUUGGGCGUAAAGCGCGCGUAGGCGGUUUUUUAAGUCUGAUGUGAAAGCCCACGGCUCAACCGUGGAGGGUCAUUGGAAACUGGAAAACUUGAGUGCAGAAGAGGAAAGUGGAAUUCCAUGUGUAGCGGUGAAAUGCGCAGAGAUAUGGAGGAACACCAGUGGCGAAGGCGACUUUCUGGUCUGUAACUGACGCUGAUGUGCGAAAGCGUGGGGAUCAAACAGGAUUAGAUACCCUGGUAGUCCACGCCGUAAACGAUGAGUGCUAAGUGUUAGGGGGUUUCCGCCCCUUAGUGCUGCAGCUAACGCAUUAAGCACUCCGCCUGGGGAGUACGACCGCAAGGUUGAAACUCAAAGGAAUUGACGGGGACCCGCACAAGCGGUGGAGCAUGUGGUUUAAUUCGAAGCAACGCGAAGAACCUUACCAAAUCUUGACAUCCUUUGACAACUCUAGAGAUAGAGCUUUCCCCUUCGGGGGACAAAGUGACAGGUGGUGCAUGGUUGUCGUCAGCUCGUGUCGUGAGAUGUUGGGUUAAGUCCCGCAACGAGCGCAACCCUUAAGCUUAGUUGCCAUCAUUAAGUUGGGCACUCUAAGUUGACUGCCGGUGACAAACCGGAGGAAGGUGGGGAUGACGUCAAAUCAUCAUGCCCCUUAUGAUUUGGGCUACACACGUGCUACAAUGGACAAUACAAAGGGCAGCGAAACCGCGAGGUCAAGCAAAUCCCAUAAAGUUGUUCUCAGUUCGGAUUGUAGUCUGCAACUCGACUACAUGAAGCUGGAAUCGCUAGUAAUCGUAGAUCAGCAUGCUACGGUGAAUACGUUCCCGGGUCU